UACGUAGGUGGCAAGCGUUGUCCGGAAUUAUUGGGCGUAAAGCGCGCGCAGGCGGUCCUUUAAGUCUGAUGUGAAAGCCCACGGCUCAACCGUGGAGGGUCAUUGGAAACGGGGGGACUUGAGUACAGAAGAGAAGAGUGGAAUUCCACGUGUAGAGGUGAAAUUCGUAGAUAUCGGGAGGAACACCGGUGGCGAAGGCGGCGACCUGGGUCGAUACUGACGCUGAGGUGCGAAAGCGUGGGGAGCAAACAGG
rnacentral:rRNA from 1 species